UCGUGAUCACCUUGACAGCUGCUUUCAAGAAUGUUCUCGGUGAGGAUCUCUACAUCGUAAGCGGCCCAUGGUGCUGGAUUAGGGGCUGUCUGGACCGGGAAAACAUCAUUCUUUGGAUGACAGUGGGUGGGAAAGGCUGGGAGAUCUUGACCUAUAUCGUCACAGCGUUCCUGUACAUUUAUCUCAAGUACUACAUGAUUAGGAAGCGUCGUAGAGAGGGCCAGCCCAACCUCCGUUAUAGCCAAAUCUCGUACCGUCUCCGUGAUGACGACGAGAAUUACGUGCUCUUGUGGUUUGUUCUUUACAUCUUACGAAUCUGGGGAACAGCAAGAUACGUGAAAUUUGUCUACGAGGCCAGUACGGGUCAAACGUCCGAGCUGGAUUUUGACCAGACGGACAUGGUACUCAUGCACUUUCAGAGCGUUGGUGACAGCUCCCAGGCUUUUUUCAAUUGUCUACUUUUUUGUGUUAAGGACAGUACGGUAAGGCAUGGAUUAUUAACUAGGCUGUUCUGUCGACGGAACCAACUUCAAGGAAGACAACUGAAUGAAUACAACCAGAUUUAAACAAUUUUAAGCGAUUUUCCUAUAAAUUUGGAAAUCAAGAAGGACAGUACUAAAUCUCUAAAAUUCAAGGUUUUAACAGAUCUUUUUCGAAAUGAAUAUAAUUAUUAUAGAAGUAUGAAAUAUUUUCUGUGUUUCUAUCAUGAACUAAGUGAUGAUUUUGUUGUUUGAGAACAGUCUCCGCUGACGUCAUGUAAUUUGACUACAGGAAGUUUUUUUUCUGAACUAGUUUGGUUUCAAUAUUUUCCCACACUUUGCACUGGUAAUCUAAUUCUAUGCAUGCAUACAAUAUAUCUACUUAAAGAGACACUACAGCUCAUUUUCCACAUUUUAAUAAAGUGUUUUUAAAAACACGUAUUGAUAAAAUGAUAAAACUCAUAUCGAUACUGACAAUUUUGAACAAUUGGAUGCAUUCAUUUACUCUCAACUGCGCUUUGAAGAUCCUCCGGAAUUCAAACGUUUCUUCAUGCUGACUCGGACUUUUGAAUGCUUAUUUACAUCACGUGGUUUUGAAUGACAGCAAAGGUGUUGUGUAGGACUCCCCUUCAAGGGGACCACUCUCACCUUUCAAGUAUAAGCUAGAUUAUUUCCUGCUCAUUAUAAUAAGUAAUUAUAUAAAUCAUAAUUCAACAGAAACCCACCUAUGUUCUUAUUGACCGAUGUUUUUACAACCGGUUAACACUUGUCGUGUUGAGAUAAAAAUAACACUUUUAAAGCAGUUCUUCGCGGCUAGUCCCAAUAGCAGAUUUAGGGAGGCCAGGAUCCCCCUCCCCCUUUUAACCACAAAUUGUGAGUGAAACUCCAAUUUUUGCACCCAGAAUGGCCGAUUACUUUGGCUAAUAUUUGACUUUCACAUCUCCCUUCGGAAAUCCUAGAUCCGCCACUGAGUUACAAUCGUUUCUCCUAGCUCUUUGUUUUCCAACGGUCAUACUGAUCCCAAGGUAAAUUUUAUUUCACGUAUGAGUUUUGUCUCAUUUUAUUUUUACCUCUUUUCUCAUAGAAUCUUUCAAAAUUCUGGAUCUAUCGAUAUCCACUGCACUACACUUUCUCUCACUUGACGACAUGCUACACUGUUUACUGUCUAUGCGCAUGCGUCUGAAGACCGAAGGAGGAGACUCGAUAUUUUUUGUAUAGGCCAUCAAAAAGUAUUAAUUUUUAUGUUAAAACGAGAGUUUGUAACUUUAGAUAAGUGUUAUUUUCGCAAAGUUCAUACAUUCAACAAUGCAACAAAAAUUGAGAAAGCCCUGAGAAAAUUGUCAUUUCAUGAUUUUUGCGCAAAAUGAGCUGUAGUGUCUCUUUAAUUAAUAUUAUUUAUUAAUUAUUAAUGAUUUAUAUUGUUAAUUAUUAUUAACAAUAUAAUCAGUAAAAUGUAAGUCCAAUUAUGUUUGUUCUUUGAGCUAACCUUACUGGAAUCUUCCAUAAUCCCCCCCCCCCCCCAUUCCUAUCAUUCUAUACAAAGAGGAAUGGAGGAUAUGAUUUGUAUGGUAUGGAUAAUAAAUGUUCCCGCACACUUUAAGGAAAACUUUUUUUGCAUCAGAAUUCUACUAGACAAAUAGGAAAUGUCCUAAUUCGCUCAUUGAUUAGCAAGCCAGAACAAUAGACAUUGUAAUUUGCAGUGUUUAUAGUGCUAGCUUGAUCCUGCAUCUUUUACUUAUGUAAAUAUUGAUUUGACAUAUAUCACACUUCAGGUCGACUCCCCCCAUCGAUAUCUUACAGCUACGUCACAAAAAGUCAAAGGAGGCGGAUUAAAAAUGUAGAACUUCUUAGUUUUUAUAGUGCAUUUAAAAGCUGUAGUAAAAUUGAAAUCACAGAACUUUUCCAAAACCACAUCACCAAAACAUGACUGUUCAACAAUUAAUAUCAUCAUCUCUCACAGUAGACAAAAAGACAUCAUAGACAGCUGCUUCCGAUCGUCUAACAGUUUGUUGCAGUUCCCAUGGACACAGAUUAUGCUUCUUUAUUAGCUGACAUGUUUAAUUUGUAUUCAUAUGAAAGAGAAUUUAUCCAAAAACUUCUACAUGUCUAGAAAUAUAUUUCUGCAGCCUCUACCUCGACAUUUAGAUAUAUCAACGGCGUUUUAUAUAUUGACAAUACUCGCUUUCAUUCAUAAGUUGAUUCGAUACAUCCUAAUGAACUCAAAAUACGUCACUUCUGUCUUACACGUCUGUUUCAUAGUAGGAAUCUAUACUGAACAUAAGCAUUAACGGCAAACUAACAAGUUAGCUUUCUGACAAACGGGAUGCCAUCAGCUUUUCCAUCAUUAAUUGUUUUUAAUUUAUGAAAUAAUAUUCCAUUAUCAGCCUGUUUAUGUCUCGUACAACUGUAAUUGAUUCGAUAUGCGAGAGUACGUUUUGCGUAUGAUCAAUUUUUAAAUUGAAGCAGUCUACUUUUUCUUGAGGAUAGCAGUGACUAUUCUUAGCCACCAAAUUUCUUCAUUAAUUUACAAUAGCGAUAUGGAACAUGCUCCCUUAAUCUUAAUACUCUUGUUUUUCUUCUGAAAAAAGGCUUUUAGAUACUGCACAUAAAUAUGCGUUAUGUAUGUAAGUAUGUAGGUAUGUAUAUAUGGAGGUAUGUAUGUAUGGAGGCGCGGAGUUGUGAGAGCAUGUUGCUAUCUAGUAAAUUGAAGAAGGAGAGCCCUUCUUUUCCUCUGGGUGUAGCUGCAAUAAUGUAGCCCUCUCCGAUUUUUUUUUUUAGGAAAGGGCUACAAAUCCUUAGGAUCUCUGAAAUGGUGCAGAUGCGGGAGUGAUUCACUCCCGCAACAUUUUCGAUUAUUCUAAACAUUUGCUGACUUUCUUUAUAGGUAAAUAAAAUGAUAUUCUAUGUUUCUUAGUCAGUAUAUAAAUUUACAACCUGCAACUUACGAUUUGUGAGGCUCUAUUCUACCGUUUUCAACAAUUUCGAUAUAUUCCAAUUUCUCGAUUCAUAUUUGUGCGCCAUGUUUGAUGUACUGAAAGUUUUAACUUCCGAUUGUCAAGUUAUUUGCAUAUGCCAUAUAAGGUAGUAUUUACAUCAAUGGACAAGUACGAAAGAGAAAGCUAUUUCGUCGGUAUUAAAAAGGUUUAGAUUUGAUAUCAAGUUCAAAAUACGAACAGCAGAGUGUAAAUUCUUUCUGCAUACAUAUGAUUUUCCUUUCUUUGUCGGAUUGGCUCGAGUAACUACAUUUUCGCGCAGAUUGUCAAUGUUUAGGUUUUUCAGUAGAUCCACCUACGAUAUCUCGCGAUAAAAAUCAUGGCGGAGCAGGCGAAAAAUUUUGCAUGCUGUACAAGAUGUUUAAUGAAAAACACCUUUAUUAGACAUGCCCAAAAACAGAGUUGGUACUCCGUUUGGUGUAAACAACAUUUGGGACUAAUACACUGAGCUUAUUAUCGGUUAUUCAUAAAAUUAUUUUUGUUAUUACGGAGAUCCUAUGGAAUUUUAGCUCUAUCCCGAAAACGUCAGAAUAAAAAAAAAAUCAGAUAUGGCUACAUUACUGUGGCUGCUCUGUGUGAAGUGGUCGAAAUUCCUUCAUACAAACUAGUAAGUGUUAAACUAGAUCGGUAAACAGAAAAAGGAUUUGAAAUAAAACGUGGUUUAGUUUACAAGUAUGUUUCAUCCCAGC